CCCUUAGAUGUCCUGGGCCGCACGCGCGCUACACUGAGUGUCUGAGAUACGAGUCUGCCUGGUCCGGCAAGGUCUAGGUAAUCGCUAAAAGACACAUCAUGCUUGGGAUAGAUUAUUGCAAAUAUUAAUCUUGAACGAGGAAUUCCUAGUAAGCGCAAGUCAACAGCUUGCGUUGAUUACGUCCCUGCCCUUUGUACACACCGCCCGUCGCUACUACUGAUUGGAUGUCUAAGCGAGGUUCUCGAACUGCUAGCGACUUAGCUUCGGUGAGGUCGCAGUGUGGGAAGUGAACCGAGCUUUGGUGUCUAGAGGAAGUAAAAGUCGUAACA
rnacentral:rRNA from 1 species